rnacentral:lncRNA from 1 species
CUACCUUUUGCUUAACUCUGGAUAGAACAGCAAAAGAACAUUUUCGUGGCUGCUUUAAACAAAUUUUGAAGGCUUGAAUUUUUUUCUAAAAGUUCAUUUGUAUUUUAAUUAAUACUGUCCUCAUAGCUGUAGUUAAUCUUAAAAAAACACCAUGUUUCUAUAUACCUCUAAUAGUAUGCUAUAACCUUAUGUGAAAAGCAGGAAUUCUAGUACACUCUUUUUGCUGGUGAGGCCUAGUGAUACUACCCAUUGAUCCAGUGAAUUAAUGUCAUAGCAGGGCCAGAACUUCAGCCUACUGAUGACUUUUUUCCCCUACU